CAAAUCCUAGGACACCUCCUACCACACUACCACCAAAUCCUAGGACACCUCCUACCACACCACCAGCAAACCCUAGGACACCUCCUACCAGACCACCGACAAACCCCAGAACACCUCCUACCACAUCACCACCAAAUCCUAGGACACCUCCGACAAAUCCUAUGACACCUCCUACCACACCACCAGCAAACCCUAGGACACCUCCUACCACACCACCGACAAACCCGAGGACACCUCCUACCACACCACCGACAAAUCCCAGGACACCUCCUACCACACCACCACCAAAUCCUAGGACACCUCCGACAAAUCCUAUGAAACCUCCUACCACACCACCACCAAAUCCUAUGACACCUCCUUCGACACCACCACCAAAUCCUAGGACACCUCCUACCACACCAUCACCAAAUCCUAGGACACCUCCUACAAAUCCUACCACACCACCAACAAACCCUAGGACACCUCCUACCACACCACCGACAAAUCCUAGGACACCUCCUACCAUACCACCACCAAUUCCUAGGACACCUCCUACCACACCACCACCAAAUCCUAGGACACCACCGACAAAUCCUAGGACACCUCCUACCACACCACCACCAAAUCCUAGGACACCUCCUUCGACACCACCACCAAUUCCUAGGACAC
rnacentral:lncRNA from 1 species